UAUGUGAUCGUCUCUCGCAUAUCAAUAAGCGGAGGAAAAGAAACUAACAAGGAUUCCCCUAGUAACGGCGAGUGAAGCGGGAAGAGCUCAAAUUUGAAAUCUUAAAGGGUUUCCCUUUACGAAUUGUAGUUUAAAGAAGUGUUUUCUGUUGAGGUUUAGGUAAAAGUUCUUUGGAAUAGGACAUCAUAGAGGGUGAGAAUCCCGUAUUUGACCUUUACUUUCAACUUUGUGAUACACUUUCAAAGAGUCGGAUUGUUUGGGAAUGCAGUCCAAAAUGGGUGGUAAAUUUCAUCUAAAGCUAAAUAUUGGCGAGAGACCGAUAGCGAACAAGUACCGUGAGGGAAAGAUGAGAAGAACUUUGAAAAGAGAGUUAAACAGUAGGUGAAAUUGUCAAAAGGGAAGCGUUUGACACCAGUGUUGUUUUUCUGAAAAUCAAUUAAAGAACUGUUUAUGCUAAGCUGUUUAGACUUUAUCAGCUAUCUGUUUAGUUUUGAGCUUUUCUUUAAUGCACUUUUCAGUUAACAAGUCAACAUCAAUUUCUUUUGCUGUAAAAAAGCUUGAGGAAGGUGGCUUGAGAUUCGUCUUAAGUGUUUAUAGCCUCUUGCCUAUGCAGUCGGAGAGAUUGAGGUCUGCAGCGUAGAUCCUUCGGGGCUAAAUGCAUUUGUGCUAAGUUAUAGCAUUUUAUAGACAACUUGUUGACUAUGAUUUGUCUUGUAGCUUACUCGCUUAUGUUAUUUUACCUACGCUUAGGAUGUUGAUAUCGCGCUCUCACUG
rnacentral:rRNA from 1 species